rnacentral:rRNA from 1 species
UACAGAGGGUGCGAGCGUUAAUCGGAAUUACUGGGCGUAAAGCGUGCGUAGACGGUUAUUUAAGUCGGAUGUGAAAGCCCCGGGCUCAACCUGGGAAUUGCAUUCGAUACUGGAUAGCUAGAGUUCGGCAGAGGGAAGCGGAAUUUCUGGUGUAGCGGUGAAAUGCGUAGAUAUCAGAAGGAACAUCAGUGGCGAAAGCGGCUUCCUGGACCAGAACUGACGAUCAGGCUCGAAAGCGUGGGGAGCAAACAGG